UAGAGGAAGUAAAAGUCGUAACAAGGUUUCCGUAGGUGAACCUGCGGAAGGAUCAUUAUUGAAAUAAACCUGAUGGGUUGUUGCUGGUUCUCUAKAGAGCAUGUGCACGCUUGUCAUCUUUAUAUCUCCACCUGUGCACCUUUUGUAGACCUGGAUAUCUCUCUGAGUGCUAGCCACCCAGGUUUGAGGACUGACUCUAUGUCUUUCCUUACAUUUCCAGGCCUAUGUUUCUUCAUAUACCCCAAUGUAUGUCUUAGAAUGUAUUCAAUGGGCCUUUGUGCCUAUAAAAACUAUACAACUUUCAGCAACGGAUCUCUUGGCUCUCGCAUCGAUGAAGAACGCAGCGAAAUGCGAUAAGUAAUGUGAAUUGCAGAAUUCAGUGAAUCAUCGAAUCUUUGAACGCACCUUGCGCUCCUUGGUAUUCCGAGGAGCAUGCCUGUUUGAGUGUCAUUAAUAUAUCAACCUCUUCAGCUUUUUUGUUUGACGAGUGUUGGAUGUGGGGGUUUGUUUUGCUGGGCUUUUUUAUAAAGAGGUCAGCUCCCCUGAAAUGCAUUAGCGGAAACAUUUGCAGAUCGUUCAUUGGUGUGAUAAUUAUCUACGCUAUUGACGUGAAGCAGUUCAGCUUCUAACAGUCCAUUGACUUGGACAAUUUUCAUUAAUGUGACCUCAAAUCAGGUAGGACUACCCGCUGAACUUAAGCAUAUCAAUAA
rnacentral:rRNA from 1 species